rnacentral:rRNA from 1 species
UACAGAGGGUGCGAGCGUUAAUCGGAAUUACUGGGCGUAAAGCGCGCGUAGGCGGCUUUGCAAGUCGGAUGUGAAAUCCCCAGGCUUAACCUGGGAACUGCAUUCGAGACUGCAUUGCUAGAGUAUGGGAGAGGGAAGUGGAAUUUCCGGUGUAGCGGUGAAAUGCGUAGAUAUCAGGAGGAACACCAAUAGCGAAGGCAGCUCGCUGGGACGGUACUGACGCUAAGGCGCGAAAGCGUGGGGAGCGAACAGG